GCCUACGGGGGGCAGCAGUGGGGAAUAUUGGGCAAUGGGCGCAAGCCUGACCCAGCAACGCCGCGUGAAGGAAGAAGGCUUUCGGGUUGUAAACUUCUUUUAUUGAGGACGAAACAAAUGACGGUACUCAAUGAAUAAGCCACGGCUAACUACGUGCCAGCAGCCGCGGUAAUACGUAGGUGGCAAGCGUUAUCCGGAUUUACUGGGUGUAAAGGGCGUGUAGGCGGGACUGCAAGGCAGAUG
rnacentral:rRNA from 1 species